GUUUUGUAGAGUUGGUCACCCUUGGUCGAGUAAAUGGAUCGAGUAGGAGGGGCGAGUAGAUCAAUCUGCUGCUUCAUCUGAGGCUGCCUUGAUCGAGUAAGAGGGUCGAGUAAACUGCAGCCUCCUCUGUUGCAUCCUAGAUCGAGUAAAGAGGUCGAGUAGAAUGAUACCUCUUCUGUAGCUGCCUAGAUCGAGUGAAGUCCUUUUCAGCUCCUUCUGCACCUGAAAACACACCAAAACAUGCAAUGCGAAUGGAG
rnacentral:sRNA from 1 species